rnacentral:rRNA from 1 species
CGGGUGAGUAAUGUCUGGGAAACGGCCCGAUGGAGGGGAGUAACUACUGGAACGGUAGCUAAUACCGCAUAACGUCGCAAGACCAAAGAGGGGGACCUUAGGGCCUCUUGCCAUCGGAUGUGCCCAGAUGGGAUUAGCUAGUAGGUGGGGUAAUGGCUCACCUAGGCGACGAUCCCUAGCUGGUCUGAGAGGAUGAUCAGCCACACUGGGACUGAGACACGGCCCAG